rnacentral:rRNA from 1 species
UGCCGCGUGUGUGAAGAAGGCCUUUUGGUUGUAAAGCACUUUAAGCGAGGAGGAGGCUACUUGGAUUAAUACUCUAGGAUAGUGGACGUUACUCGCAGAAUAAGCACCGGCUAACUCUGUGCCAGCAGCCGCGGUAAUACAGAGGGUGCGAGCGUUAAUCGGAUUUACUGGGCGUAAAGCGUGCGUAGGCGGCUUUUUAAGUCGGAUGUGAAAUCCCUGAGCUUAACUUAGGAAUUGCAUUCGAUACUGGGAAGCUAGAGUAUGGGAGAGGAUGGUAGAAUUCCAGGUGUAGCGGUGAAAUGCGUAGAGAUCUGGAGGAAUACCGAUGGCGAAGGCAGCCAUCUGGCCUAAUACUGACGCUGAGGUACGAAAGCAUGGGGAGCAAACAGGAUUAGAUACCCUGGUAGUCCAUGCCGUAAACGAUGUCUACUAGCCGUUGGGGCCUUUGAGGCUUUAGUGGCGCAGCUAACGCGAUAAGUAGACCGCCUGGGGAGUACGGUCGCAAGACUAAAACUCAAAUGAAUUGACGGGGGCCCGCACAAGCGGUGGAGCAUGUGGUUUAAUUCGAUGCAACGCGAAGAACCUUACCUGGUCUUGACAUAGUAAGAACUUUCCAGAGAU